AUGUUCUUCAAAGGAGGAAGCUGGCUUUGGUUAUACAUCAGAACAAGUAUUAUUCUAGGAAGUGAGCUAAACAGCCCAGCACCACAUGGGCAAAAUAAUUGUUACCAGCUUAACAGAUUUCAAUGCAGCUUUGAGGAAGCACAGCAUUACUGUCAUGUGCAGAGAGGAUUCCUAGCUCAUAUUUGGAACAAGGAAGUUCAAGAUCUCAUCCGGGACUAUCUGGAAGAAGGAAAGAAGUGGUGGAUUGGGCAAAAUGUAAUGCCAUUGAAAAAGCAUCAAGACAACAAAUACCCAGCAGACGUUGCAGCCAACGGGCCCCCAAAGCCCCUCAGCUGCACCUACCUGUCCAGAAACUUCAUUCGGAUCUCAUCCAAAGGGGACAAGUGCUUACUGAAAUACUAUUUCAUUUGCCAGACUGGUGACUUUUUGGACGGAGAUGCCCAUUAUGAAAGAAAUGGAAAUAAUUCCCAUUUGUACCAGAGACACAAGAAGACAAAAAGAGGAGUUGCAAUAGCAAGAGACAAAAUGCCCCCAGGACCUGGUCAUCUUCCAACCACAUGUCACUAUCCUCUUCCUGCUCAUCUUUCCAAGACCCUGUGUCAUCCCAUCAGCCAGUUUCCUUCAGUACUAUCAAGUAUCACAUCACAGGUAACAUCAGCCGCAUCUGAACCCAGCAGCCAGCCUCUCCCUGUGAUAACACAGCUCACCAUGCCCGUGUCUGUCACGCAUGCUGGGCAAUCUCUGGCAGAAACAACUUCAAGCCCAAAGGAAGAAGGUCAUCCGAAUACCUUCACCUCUUAUCUACAAGUGUCAUUGCAGAAGGCAUCUGGUCAGGUCAUAGAUGAGAUAGCAGGGAACUUCAGCAGAGCAGUUCAUGGUUUGCAAGCUCUUAACAAACUACAGGAAGCUUGUGAGUUCCUCCAGAAACUAACAGCCUUAACCCCAAGAUUUUCUAAGCCAGCUCAGGUUAAUCUCAUCAAUUCCCUUAUUUACCUGAGUGAGGAGUUACUCAGGAUCCCAUUUCAGAACAACAACAGUCUGGGCUUCAAAGUUCCUCCAACUGUCUGCCCCUUUCAUUCCCUCAACAAUGUCACCAAAGCUGGAGAAGGAAGUUGGCUGGAAUCCAAGCGUCAUACUGAGCCGGUAGAAGACAUCCUGGAAAUGUCCUUGGUGGAGUUUGGGAAUAUCGGGGAAGCAUUUCUAGAGCAGAACCAGUCUCCCGAGUCUUCAGUGACUUUGACCUCUGCCAAUGCUACUCUGCUGCUGAGCAGACAAAACAUAUCAACUUUACCGCUGAGCUCUUACACUCUGGGUCACCCAGCCCCUGUGAGGCUAGGCUUUCCGUCGGCUUUAGCUUUGAAGGAGCUCUUGAAUAAACAUCCAGGAGUUAAUGUCCAAAUAACAGGACUAGCUUUCAAUCCCUUCAAGGAUUUGGACAACAGAAACAUUGUUGGAAGCAUUGGAAGUGUGUUACUAAGCGCUAAUCGUAAAUUGCUCCAAGUCCAUGAUUUAAUGGAGGACAUUGAGAUCAUGCUCUGGAGAAAUGUUAGCUUGGAAACCCAUCCCACCAGCCUCAACAUGAGCACACAUCAGCUUACAAUCACAGUGAACGUCACUUCCUUGGAGAAAUCCUUGAUAGUGAGCAUAGAUCCUGACAGUCCCCUUUUAAUGACACUCUACCUGGGGUUCCAGUAUCAGCCUAACUGCACUCACUUCCACCUGAACAUCACCCUUCCAAAGGAUAAGGUGUGGCAAAAAGAUGAGGAGUACACGUGGGUGCUGAAUCCAGAGCAUCUGCAGCACGGGAUUGGCACCUACUAUAUAACAGCUGUGCUGAGUGAGAGGCAGGAGGGUGCUCAGCAGACACCCAGCUUGGUCUCGGUCAUCACCGCCGUCACUCAGUGUUACUACUGGGAGAUCCACAACCAGACAUGGAGCAGCGCCGGAUGCCAAGUUGGGCCACAGAGCACAAUUCUGAGGACACAGUGUCUCUGUAACCACCUGACCUUCUUUGCCAGCGACUUCUUUGUCGUGCCCAGGACCGUGAAUGUUGAAGACACGAUCAAACUGUUCCUUCGCGUGACCAACAAUCCUGUUGGGGUGUCACUGCUGGCCAGCCUUUUAGGAUUUUAUGUGAUCACAGUUGUGUGGGCUCGGAAAAAGGAUCAAGCAGAUAUGCAGAAGGUGAAGGUCACUGUCCUGGCUGAUAAUGACCCCAGCGCUCAAUUUCACUACCUUAUUCAGGUCUACACCGGAUAUCGAAGAAGCGCUGCUACAACAGCUAAGGUUGUCAUCACCCUCUAUGGAUCAGAGGGACGGAGUGAGCCCCAUCACCUCUGUGACCCCCAGAAGACAGUCUUUGAACGAGGGGGCCUGGAUGUCUUCCUUCUCACCACUUGGACCUCUCUAGGGAACCUGCACAGCCUUCGGCUCUGGCAUGACAAUUCUGGCGUCAGUCCCUCCUGGUAUGUCAGCCAGGUAAUUGUCUGUGACAUGGCAGUUAAGAGGAAGUGGCAUUUCCUGUGCAAUUGCUGGCUGGCUGUGGACCUCGGAGACUGUGAGCUUGACCGGGUCUUCAUCCCAGUUUCAAAGAGAGAGCUCUUUUCCUUUAGACAUCUGUUUUCCUCCAUGAUUGUGGAAAAGUUCACCCAGGAUUAUCUGUGGCUUUCAAUUGCAACUCGGCAUCCCUGGAACCAGUUUACAAGGGUCCAACGGCUGUCUUGCUGCAUGACACUGCUACUCUGCAACAUGGUCAUCAAUGUUAUGUUCUGGAAGAUAAACAGCACCACUGCCAAGAGAGAUGAGCAAAUGCGUCCAUUUGCUGUGGCCUGGUCUGAACUGCUGGUCAGCAUCCAUACUGCUGUCAUCCUCUUCCCAAUCAAUCUUGUCAUAGGGCGGCUCUUCCCGUUGAUUGAGCCACAGGAGACUCUGCCCCUCUUUCCUCCCAUCCAGGCCUCCUGCCUCUCAGAUGCUUCUGUUGAGCCUCUCUCUGCCACAAUGGUAGUUGAGGAAUUAAAGGAAACUGUGAGAUUCCUGCUCAGGAGAAAUACAUACCUACUCUCCAAGUGUGAGCAGCCGCCAUGGAGUUCUUGGGACAUUACUAAGCUGGUGAAACUUUUAUCCAGCCUCGUAUCAUCUCACUUGGAGGGUCAAGGCUGUCAUCAGCAGGGAGAGCGCCACUGGGCACGUGUUGUUCCUGAAAACCACCAUCAUUUCUGCUGUUACCUGCAUAGAGUUCUGCAGAGGCUGAAAUCUCACUUAGGCACGCUGGGUCUCACCCAGGGUCACCAGUCCUGUGACUUCCUAGAUGCAGCCAGCCAACUUCAAAAACUCCAGGAACUCUUGGAAACACAUAUUCUUCCCACGGAGCAAGAGCCAUCCAGGGAAGUCACCAGUUUUGCCAUCCUGAGCUCAGAAGAAGGAAAAAAGCCCAUCUCAAAUGGCCUGUCCAAAUGGUUGACUUCAGUCUGCUGGCUCCUCUUAGGUUUCACUAGCCUGGCUUCAGCCUUUUUUACAGCACUUUAUAGCUUGGAAUUGAGCAAAGACCAAGCCACCAGCUGGAUGAUUUCAAUUAUUUUAUCAGUGCUUCAGAACAUCUUCAUCAGCCAGCCAGUAAAGGUGGUCUUCUUCACAUUCUUAUACUCACUGAUGAUGAGCAGGAUGCCACGGCUUAACAAAGAGAAUGAACAACAAAGGAUCUUGGCACUCUUGGCAAAAUGUUCUUCGUCAGUACCAGGUUCAAGAGAUAAGAACAACCCCGUCUAUGUAGCCCCAGCUAUAAAUAGUCCAACUAAGCACCCAGAAAGAACCUUGAAAAAGAAGAAACUCUUCAAGCUGACUGGAGAUAUUUUGGUACAAAUCCUCUUCCUUACCCUGUUGAUGACUGCAAUCUACUCUGCAAAGAACUCCAAUAGAUUUUACCUCCACCAAGCUAUCUGGAAGACAUUUUCGCACCAGUUCUCGGAAAUCAAACUUCUUCAGGAUUUCUACCCCUGGGCCAAUCAUAUCCUUCUUCCUAGCCUGUAUGGGGAUUACAGAGGUAAGAAUGCAGUCCUGGAGCCCAGUCAUUGCAAAUGUGGGGUACAAUUAAUUUUCCAAAUACCCCGUACCAAGACCUAUGAGAAAGUGGACGAAGGUCAGCUGGCGUUUUGUGAUAACGGCCAUACCUGUGGGCGUCCCAAGAGCCUAUUCCCUGGACUUCAUCUAAGGAGGUUCAGUUACAUCUGUUCACCCAGGCCCAUGGUGCUGAUUCCCACUGAUGAGCUUCACGAAAGGCUGACAAGCAAGAAUGAGAAUGGAUUCAGUUACAUCAUGAGAGGUGCUUUCUUCACCUCUUUGAGACUGGAAAGCUUCACUUCCCUUCAGAUGUCAAAGAAGGGCUGUGUCUGGUCUAUCAUCUCACAAGUCAUCUAUUAUCUACUGGUCUGUUACUAUGCCUUCAUACAGGGUUGUCAGCUGAAACAGCAGAAGUGGAGGUUCUUCACUGGGAAAAGAAACAUUCUGGACACAAGUAUAAUCCUCAUUAGCUUCAUCCUCCUGGGGCUUGACAUGAAGAGUAUUUCUCUACAUAAGAAAAACAUGGCACGAUACCGCGAUGACCAGGACAGAUUCAUCAGCUUCUAUGAGGCAGUAAAAGUGAACUCUGCUGCGACUCACCUUGUGGGCUUCCCGGUUCUCCUGGCAACUGUUCAGUUAUGGAACCUGCUGCGUCAUAGCCCCAGGCUGCGGGUCAUCAGCAGGACACUGAGCCGAGCCUGGGACGAGGUGGUGGGCUUUCUGCUGAUCAUCCUAAUCCUGCUGACAGGCUAUGCCAUUGCCUUUAACCUGCUGUUUGGAUGCAGCAUCUCUGACUACCGGACAUUUUUCAGCUCAGCAGUGACUGUUGUUGGUCUCCUGAUGGGAAUUUCUCACCAAGAGGAGGUUUUCGCUUUAGACCCAGUCCUGGGCACCUUUCUGAUCCUCACCAGUGUCAUCUUGAUGGUACUUGUGGUAAUUAAUCUUUUCGUUUCGGCCAUUCUCAUGGCCUUUGGAAAAGAAAGAAAGUCGCUUAAGAAAGAAGCUGCACUAAUAGAUACACUGCUACAGAAGCUCUCAAAUUUGUUAGGAAUCAGUUGGCCCCAAAAAACCUCAUCUGAGCAAGCAGCCACGACAGCAGUGGGCAGUGACACUGAAGUUUUAGAUGAACUACCUUAA
rnacentral:lncRNA from 1 species